GUUAAGUACAAGCACACCAGCAACCCAACCUCUUGGGUAUCAUCUCUGCUUCCGAUCAACCUUCAAGGGAACAGAAGGGCAGGACAACACCAGUCGCCCAAAGAUGUUCCACAAAGUGGAUCCAACCAAGUCUGAAGUCAGAGCCCAGCCCGCCUGUCCCCAUCAAGCUCUUCUCCUCCGCUGUGCCCUGGAGACGGGAAGGACACGCUUUUCCAAACAGGUGUUAUUAGCUCAACGGUGAGAACGCGGAGACUCAGAGAAGGGGGGUGGACUGUCCGGAUCACACAGCUGGUAAGGGAGAAGGGUAGGACUGACCCAGCUCUGGACAAUCCUGGAGCUUGUUUUUCUUCCAUGAGACCUCUCCGUGGGCUCAACUUCAUGCACAUUCUUUCCCAGAAAAAUCAAAGACAAACCACAAUCCGGGGCUUGGAAAUUCUGACCAGUACCCCACCUCUCCACCUCCCUCCCCCGCAGGGCCCCCUGCGGAUCUCCAGUCCCUUCCUCUCCUGCCUGUCCCUAGAAGCUGAUCCCGCCCAGUGCUGAUCCAGGCCACCUCACGGAGCACAAAGAAGCAAGCAAGUGCUCCCUGAGCUGUGGGCCGUGCUCGCCUGCCUCCUGAAGACGCCACGGGCCUCGUUCCCCUGCUAGAACAUACCGCCUGGCCUAACUGCCAAGCUCAAGUCAAAGGGGAUGUCCCUGCCAUGACACAAGGGCAGGUGACUGCCUUGGAGUUUUCUGGCUUAAAGACAAGUCAUAGGGCGCCUGUAUCUGAGUGGGGAGAGAGCUCAGCUUGCAAAGGACCUGCCUGAUCCCCCCACUCGACACAACAUUCCACCUUCGUUUCUAAAUGUUUAGAAUCUGAAAAAACUAUCAAACGAACAUCUGGGCCCACCCCGGAUCGGAAACCUUGGAUCUCCUUCCAGAGAUUUAUGGUCUUGCCUCUUUCCCACGUCUCCAGCUGUCACACAGGAGAAGUGACCUCUCAAUGCAACUUCCUUUCUAACAUGUUGGUACUUGGCUUGCAA